rnacentral:rRNA from 1 species
GACAGAGGGGGCAAGCGUUGCUCGGAAUCACUGGGCGUAAGGGCGCGUAGGCGGGAUGGUAAGUCAGUCGUGAAAUCUCUCGGCUCAACCGAGAAACGUCGGCUGAUACUGCCGUUCUUGAGGGAUGCAGAGGAGACUGGAAUUCCCGGUGUAGCGGUGAAAUGUGUAGAGAUCGGGAGGAACACCGGUGGCGAAGGCGGGUCUCUGGGCCGAUACUGACGCUGAGGAGCGAAGCGUGGGGAGCGAACAGG